UACGUAGGGGGCGAGCGUUGUCCGGAAUGAUUGGGCGUAAAGGGCGCGUAGGCGGCGCGGUAAGUCUGGAGUGAAAGUCCUGCUUUCAAGGUGGGAAUUGCUUUGGAUACUGCCGCGCUUGAGUGCAGGAGAGGUUAUCGGAAUUCCCGGUGUAGCGGUGAAAUGCGUAGAGAUCGGGAGGAACACCAGUGGCGAAGGCGGGUAACUGGACUGCAACUGACGCUGAGGCGCGAAAGUGUGGGGAGCAAACAGGAUUAGAUACCCUGGUAGUCCACACUGUAAACGAUGAAUGCUAGGUGUAAGAGGUAUCGACCCCUUUUGUGCCGGAGUCAACACAAUAAGCAUUCCGCCUGGGGAGUACGGCCGCAAGGUUGAAACUCAAAUGAAUUGGCGGGG
rnacentral:rRNA from 1 species